UUAGCCUCGCUUGCCUCUCGUCUCCCUCUUCACGGCUUCUUCUCACCAUAGCAGCAGCAACAAAAACCAAACAACACCCACAUCCCAUUCUUUUGCUCCCUUGUGUGAAACCAGCUGUCAACCCUACCUUCUCCCCCCUCUCGUUUCUUUUUCGCGGUGAACCGGCAAGCAACGCAUACCACCAUCCUUCCUCUCCUUUUUCCUAGCUACGGCGUGACCAGGUAGAGACCAGCAAGUGAGAGAAGCAGUAGCGUUAUCUCCGGCCUCUCCUUCUCCUUCGGUGUUCCGGCGUGGACAUGUAAGCUCGGAUUCGUGGUGGUGGCUUGGGUCUCCGGUGCGGGUAGAGCAUCUACGUUUCUGGCGAGCUCCUCCUCGGGCAGUCCAUAGAAGCUCUCGGCAGCUUUUUGCGGUGGAGGUGUGCGACGACGGCGGUAGCGGCGGAGCUACGCGGAGGCGGUGUCCCUUUCACUCGUCGUCGGCGGUGCUCUCCGGUGAGGUGGUGAUGCUCCGGCGUGGCAGCUAGCAGAGGGAGGACCGCGGGUGGGAGUUUUGCCGUGGUUCCACCGCGGCAUGCAGCUUCGUGAAGAAGACAGUAGGUUUCCGGUAGCUUGGUUUUUGUGUUGAGCCUAGCCUAUGUUGGCGUUGUUUUGGAUGUUAAGCGAAUGAGAUGAUGGUACAUAGUCUCGCCGACAACCUAUAGCUUCUGGACAUCAGCACAGCCAGUAAGUUAACGUUUCUGUAUCUGUAAGUAUAGCUCCCUCCUGCUCUAAUUGGGCACUGUGUAAUGAACUCUGGUCCAUAUGCCUAUUUUGUUCUAAUCUGCUGGAUACCAUGCCUGUUUUGGUACAUAUUGAGGAGAGAAAAUAAAAGUAUAAUAAGCCAAUAAAUUCAUAUUCUUUAUUUGCAAAUAUAUUUACUAGUAAAUUGGUUCACUUGGAAAUUAUUGCUUUGCAUGAAUGCUUUGUUUAUAAACUUAACAAUGAAUGGUGACUUUGUAUUGUGUCUAAUUGAUAUCCUUGAUCUCUAAGGUAUCACCAUGGUUCACUUUGAAGGUUGGUCCAGGGAAUUGUCCAUUCACUGUUAUU